GGAUUACAGGCUUGAGCCACCGCGCCCGGCCUAUAUUGGUAUCUCUUGAUAGGCUUAAAAUCCCUUCUUUAGGCCAGGCACGGUGGCUCACAACUGUAAUCCCAGCUCUUGGAUAUUGAGGCAGGUAGAUCACUUAAGGU